AGUGAACGCUGGCGGUAGGCCUAACACAUGCAAGUCGAACGGCAGCACAGUAAGAGCUUGCUCUUACGGGUGGCGAGUGGCGGACGGGUGAGGAAUACAUCGGAAUCUACUUUUUCGUGGGGGAUAACGUAGGGAAACUUUCGCUAAUACCGCAUACGACCUACGGGUGAAGGCAGGGGAUCUUCGGACCUUGCGCGAUUGAAUGAGCCGAUGUCGGAUUAGCUAGUUGGCGGGGUAAAGGCCCACCAAGGCGACGAUCCGUAGCUGGUCUGAGAGGAUGAUCAGCCACACUGGAACUGAGACACGGUCCAGACUCCUACGGGAGGCAGCAGUGGGGAAUAUUGGACAAUGGGCGCAAGCCUGAUCCAGCCAUACCGCGUGGGUGAAGAAGGCCUUCGGGUUGUAAAGCCCUUUUGUUGGGAAAGAAAAGCAGCAGGUUAAUACCCCGCUGUUCUGACGGUACCCAAAGAAUAAGCACCGGCUAACUUCGUG
rnacentral:rRNA from 1 species